GACGAACGCUGGCGGCGUGCCUAAUACAUGCAAGUCGAACGCUGAAGGAGGAGCUUGCUCUUCUGGAUGAGUUGCGAACGGGUGAGUAACGCGUAGGUAACCUGCCUGGUAGCGGGGGAUAACUAUUGGAAACGAUAGCUAAUACCGCAUAAGAGUAGAUGUUGCAUGACAUUUGCUUAAAAGGUGCAAUUGCAUCACUACCAGAUGGACCUGCGUUGUAUUAGCUAGUUGGUGGGGUAACGGCUCACCAAGGCGACGAUACAUAGCCGACCUGAGAGGGUGAUCGGCCACACUGGGACUGAGACACGGCCCAGACUCCUACGGGAGGCAGCAGUAGGGAAUCUUAGGCAAGGGACGGAAGUCUGACCGAGCAACGCCGCGUGAGUGAAGAAGGGUUUCGGAUCGUAAAGCUCUGUUGUAAGAGAAGAACGAGUGUGAGAGUGGAAAGUUCACACUGUGACGGUAGCUUACCAGAAAGGGACGGCUAACUACGUG
rnacentral:rRNA from 1 species